rnacentral:rRNA from 1 species
CCUACGGGAGGCAGCAGUGAGGAAUAUUGGUCAAUGGCCGGAAGGCUGAACCAGCCAUGCCGCGUGCAGGUCAGUGCCCUAUGGGCGUUAAACUUCUUUUGUGCGGGAGCAAUAAUGGUCACGUUUGGCCAGACGAGAGUACCGUACGAAUAAGCAUCGGCUAACUCCGUGCCCGCAGCCGCGGUAAGACGGGGGAUGCCAGCGUUAUCCGGAUUUAUUGGGUUUAAAGGGUGCGUAGGCUGUGAGGUAAGUCAGCGGUGAAAUGCCCCGGCUCAACGGGGUGAAGUGCCAUUGAUACUGUCUUGCUGGAAUGCGGAUGCGGUGGGAGGAAUGUGUGGUGUAGCGGUGAAAUGCAUAGAGAUCACACAGAACACCGAUUGCGAAGGCAUCUUACGAAUCCGCGAUUGACGCUGAUGCACGAAAGCGUGGGUAUCAAACAGGAUUAGAUACCCGAGUAGUC